CCUCGGCACCCACAGUGACGUGUACCCAGUCGGCACCAACUACCACAUGGCUCUCCGUUCUUGGCCAUCCUUAGGAGCGACGGAGGGAGCCAGAUGGCCCGGAGUGGGAGUGGUGAGUCAGGAGCGUGGUGUCAGUGGUCCGUGAGCAGGGAUCCCCGACAGGGGAGCGAGUGCCGAGAAGCUGAGUGGCCCCAGCGUGUGUCCCAGGAGUGACUGAAUCUCCGAGCCCCUACACCUGCCCGCAGGGUCCUCUGCCCACCCGCUGGGCCUGGGCGUGGCUCAGGGGAUGGCAGCUGUGCCCAGGCCUCCCUUCGUGCUUCUGGGUCCAUGUCCCGGUGCUGUACCUCUCUCCCCACCCCUGCCCUGCUCAGACCCUUGCUGCGCUCUUCUGGGAUCAAGGAUUUUUGUGCUUUUGUGUUCAACUGAGGAAAAGGAUUUUACGGAUUGGCCAGAGUUUCUUGAGACCCAGAGGGUUUUGCACACUGGUGACAAAGGAAAGGGA
rnacentral:lncRNA from 1 species